rnacentral:rRNA from 1 species
GAAUUUUAUAUAAAUUUAUUAUUUGAUUUAGUUAAAAAGAUUAGUAAUAGGUUAAUAUUUUAUUGGGAGGAUAGUUAAAUUAAGGAAACUUUAAUAUUUGUUAAAUCAUUAAUUUAUGAAUUAUGAUUAAAGAAUGGUUAUUAAAUUUAAGUAGAAUUAAUUACCUUAGGGAUAACAGCGUAAUUUCUUUAGAGAGAUCUUAUUAAUAAAGAUGUUUGC